rnacentral:tRNA from 1 species
AAGGCCUGCAAUACUCUAAACUACAUCUCCUGACUGCAAUUCAGACACUUUAAUUAAGCUAAGGCCUCC